AAAUGGGUGGAGUUGCUCUAAGGUUGUGAUUGAUUGAACCGGAUCAAAGCUUUCUCGUUGUUGCCCAUUCUUCUUCCCAACACCCACUUGUUGCGAGCCCAGAGCCACACGGAUCUCCUUUGUCCAUUCCCAUCUCUGUUGGUUGCGAGAAAGUCAGAAAACAUAGCUUGUUGUGGCUCUCAUCCAUCUGAAGGUAAGAUGAAUUCCAGAAUUUUUUUUGGGUCCUGAUCUGUAUAAAUGUUGGUUCUAUGUCCCUGUAUGUACUCAUAUUGGUGCGCAUUGUGUAGGAAAAAUGCAGAUCUAGGAGAGGGCAAUUAACACCCAAGCUCAAAAGACAUGGAAUCACAUGUGAGUGCGAAGGGUGGAUCUGAUAGGAAUUAGGAGUUGGAGCCAAAACUGUAAAACAGUUUUGGAUAGUUAGUUAGUCAAGUGUUAGUUGGGGAAUCUGUUACAAUUACUGUUGUAUCCUUGACGG
rnacentral:lncRNA from 1 species